rnacentral:rRNA from 1 species
GACGAACGCUGGCGGCGCGCCUAACACAUGCAAGUCGAACGAGCGAGAGAGAGCUUACUUUCUCGAGCGAGUGGCGAACGGGUGAGUAACGCGUGAGGAACCUGCCUCAAAGAGGGGGACAACAGUUGGAAACGACUGCUAAUACCGCAUAAGCCCACGGCUCGGCAUCGAGCAGAGGGAAAAGGAGCAAUCCGCUUUGAGAUGGCCUCGCGUCCGAUUAGCUAGUUGGUGAGGUAAUGGCCCACCAAGGCGACGAUCGGUAGCCGGACUGAGAGGUUGAACGGCCACAUUGGGACUGAGACACGGCCCAGACUCCUACGGGAGGCAGCAGUGGGGAAUAUUGCACAAUGGGGGAAACCCUGAUGCAGCGACGCCGCGUGGAGGAAGAAGGUCUUCGGAUUGUAAACUCCUGUUGUUGGGGAAGAUAAUGACGGUACCCAACAAGGAAGUGACGGCUAACUACGUGCCAGCAGCCACGGUAAAACGUAGGUCACAAGCGUUGUCCGGAAUUACUGGGUGUAAAGGGAGCGCAGGCGGGAAGACAAGUUGGAAGUGAAAUCUAUGGGCUCAACCCAUAAACUGCUUUCAAAACUGUUUUUCUUGAGUAGUGCAGAGGUAGGCGGAAUUCCCGGUGUAGCGGUGGAAUGCGUAGAUAUCGGGAGGAACACCAGUGGCGAAGGCGGCCUACUGGGCACCAACUGACGCUGAGGCUCGAAAGUGUGGGUAGCAAACAGGAUUAGAUACCCUGGUAGUCCACACCGUAAACGAUGAUUAUUAGGUGUUGGAGGAUUGACCCCCUCAGUGCCGCAGUUAACACAAUAAGUAAUCCACCUGGGGAGUACGACCGCAAGGUUGAAACUCAAAGGAAUUGACGGGGGCCCGCACAAGCAGUGGAGUAUGUGGUUUAAUUUGACGCAACGCGAAGAACCUUACCAAGUCUUGACAUCCCUUGACAGACAUAGAAAUAUGUUUUCUCUUCGGAGCAAGGAGACAGGUGGUGCAUGGUUGUCGUCAGCUCGUGUCGUGAGAUGUUGGGUUAAGUCCCGCAACGAGCGCAACCCUUAUGGUCAGUUACUACGCAAGAGGACUCUGGCCAGACUGCCGUUGACAAAACGGAGGAAGGUGGGGAGGACGUCAAAUCAUCAUGCCCCCUAUGACUUGGGGUACACACGUACUACAAUGGCGUUAAACAAAGAGAAGCAAGACCGCGAGGUGGAGCAAAACUCAGAAACAACGUCCCAGUUCGGACUGCAGGCUGCAACUCGCCUGCACGAAGUCGGAAUUGCUAGUAAUCGUGGAUCAGCAUGCCACGGUGAAUAAAAGCCCGGGCCUUGUACA